GGGCGCAUAGUUCAGUGGUAGAACGCUGUCCUGAUAAGACAGAGGUCCCAGGUUCGAUCCCUGGUGCGCCCA
rnacentral:tRNA from 1 species